rnacentral:rRNA from 1 species
UACGGAGGGUGCGAGCGUUGUCCGGAUUUAUUGGGUUUAAAGGGUGCGUAGGCGGCCUUAUAAGUCUGGGGUGAAAGCCCGCUGCUCAACAGCGGAACUGCCCUGGAUACUGUAGGGCUUGAGGACAGACGAGGUUGGCGGAAUAGAAGAUGUAGCGGUGAAAUGCAUAGAUAUCUUCUAGAACCCCGAUUGCGAAGGCAGCUGACUAGACUGUAACUGACGCUGAGGCACGAAAGCGUGGGGAGCGAACAG